rnacentral:snRNA from 1 species
UUUGGCAGCACAUAUAGUAAAAAAAAAAAAAAAAAAUUGGAUCAAUACAGAGACGAUUAGCAUGGCCCCUGCAUAAGGAUGACGUGCAAAUUCGUGAAGCGUUUCAUAAAAGU